UCCAGAGUCCGUGUUGAAAAAGAGAAAGAGGGAAGAGGAGUGGGCCUUGGCCAAGGAACAGGAGCGUGUAGCUGCCAACAAGAAGAAGGCUGAGAACCGGAAGCUCAUUUUCAACAGAGCAAAGCAGUAUUCUGAGGAGUAUGAGCAGCAGGUAGAUAUUGUCACUUUUCAUGAUGUUCAUUUUAUUUGUCUGUUGCGUUUCUGCAUAUUGGUCUGAUUAUUUGUUGUUGAAAUUGGUUUGUUUCCCAUGUUUAGGAGAAAGAGUUGAUCCAGUUGAAGCGUGAGGCUAAGUUGAAAGGUGGAUUUUAUGUUGACCCAGAGGCUAAGCUCUUGUUCAUUAUUCGUAUCCGUGGGUAUGUUCUCAACGUUCAGCUUAAUGGGAAAUGAAGUCCAAUGAUAUGUGCUCUGUAUCUUAUACUUUAAUUUCUUAAAUUUUCAGUAUCAACGCCAUUGACCCAAAGACCAAGAAGAUCUUGCAACUCUUGAGGCUGAGACAGGUAGCACCCCUAACCCAUUAACCUAGUGAUACAAAUGUUGACCUUUCUAUUAGGAUUCCUUUAGCUUCUCUCUUUUGGUAUUUUUAACGGUUGUCUGAUGGUUUCACUGCAUCAAGUGAGAGGCUUUUCAAUCUAUCUGUUUGUUCUUUCAUUAGAUAGCUGAUGAUAUCUUUAAACACAGUUGAGUCUUGAUCAUAGAGAGUUUAUAGCCCUCCUAUAGUUCUGUAUUUAUCCGCUUGCCUUCAUCCGUUGUUAAAGUUAUGAACUGUGUUAAUAGGUGCCCACAUAUUUUCAGUUGUAUGUUAAAAGUUCAAUUUUGUUUUAUCUUCUAAAACAGAUCUUCAAUGGAGUCUUCCUGAAAGUUAACAAAGCCACCCUCAAUAUGCUUCACAGGGUUGAACCAUAUGUUACUUACGGGUGUGUAAACAUCUUUCACAUUCUCUUUUCCUUUGUCUCAGCUGUAAAAGUCUGGAAAUGUAUGAUUAAUACGAGUUGAAUGAUUUCAGGUACCCCAACUUGAAGAGUGUCAAGGAAUUGAUAUACAAGAGAGGGUAUGGUAAGCUGAACAAGCAGAGGAUUGCCUUAACUGACAACGCCAUUGUUGAGGAGGUUUGUACCUCGCUGCUAAUGUGUUUCUAAUUGGUUUCAUUAAUUGUUACAUCUUUCUAACAUCUGCUAUUGUCACAGGCUCUUGGCAAAUAUGGCAUCAUCUGCACGGAAGAUCUUAUUCACGAGAUCUUGACAGUUGGUCCUCAUUUCAAGGAGGCCAAUAACUUUCUAUGGCCCUUUAAGCUUAAGGCACCACUGGGCGGUCUUAAGAAGAAGAGGAACCACUACGUUGAAGGUGGAGAUGCUGGAAACCGUGAGAACUACAUCAACGAGCUUAUUAGGAGAAUGAAUUAGGUCUAUGCAGUAAUUUAUUAUUCCAGUCAAUCGAGUUCUUUCUGUCAACUAGGGGGGAUCUGAUACUUAAUCCUCUGUUUAAGUUGAACACAGUUUUCGCUUUAAGGUUCAUGACUUGUUUUGGUGUCGGAAUAUUUGAUUCACAUUUUGAAGACUUGAAUGCUAGAAAGUUUUGUUGCCUUAUAUAAAUGCUUUGCUUUCGAUGCUGCCUGCUUGUUUACUUCUGCCAAGGUUCUAAGUUCGGCUAGAGUUUCAUAUGUUUUGUUGCCCUCCUUUUUCUUUUCCUUUCGUGAUUAAGUAAAACAAUGAAGAGGAAUUAGAUUGUCCUCAAAACAAAGUAGGAAAGGAAUGGAGUAUUCUUGAGUAGUAAGAGCAUCUCCAUAAGUCGGUGGAGGGCGGGCGAUAGCAAUUGGAGAGCACUCUAAACAGUAAUUGUCAAUGUGCAAGUUCACUUGUUUGGAAGAAUGAAGGACAAUAACGAUUACUAUUUACAAACGUAUUUUUUUAAUUGUUUUUUUAUUGUUUUCUUCAUCUUAUAAACACAUCUCAUUAUAGCUGUAGAUUUUUGGUAGUUUUAAAAGUUUAAUUUGCAAGUGUGUUGAACUUUAUAAGAUUUUUGAAGUGUAAACAUUGUAAGUUUCUUUAUUUGUUUAGAGUUGGAUUAAUCCUAGAUGUUGAGUUGAACAAUUUUUUGAAAUCAAAUGCUCAUAAAGAGCUACAUGGGGAGUGGGAGAGCUGACGAAUCAUCACGGAUUGGAGUAACUAUGGGCUUCAGGCGGGGGAAAAACCAACCAAUCCCACCCUCCCCCUCCUCCUCCACCCCAGGGGGGCUUUAGUGGCAAACCCUUACAAUUUUAAAAUGACAGUUGCCUUCAACCCAACUAUCUCCCAUUUUGUAGGCCCCCCUUUCCAUACUGGGCUUUAGGCACAAGCCUUAGACCAUCUCCAAUCAAAAGCUCCAGAGGGUAAAAAAUAGUCUAAAAAUCGUCUUCAACUGAGGGCUAAGCCAUAGGGCUCGUGGGCCCCAUUGGACAAAAAGGGUCGGGCUCCCAUUCAAACCCCAACAGCUAGCUUGCUAGUUGGCGUCACGUUGACAUCAGUUAUCAUUGGUUUCUGAAUAUUUUUUUUUUUUGGCCAAAAUAUUUUUUAAAAAUUCUCAUUUUUCCCUAUAAAUGCCUAAGUCGACCAUUCCUCACAAAUUUUUCAUCAUUCCUACACCAUUUCAAUUCUCAUAUUUUCUUAGCUCUUCCAAUAAUAUUUCCUUCAAUUUUUUCAAUAAUUUUCAAAUGGCCUCAUAUGCAAUGAAAGGUAAGGUUUGGACCCGAAAAGAAGAUGAAAUUCUUGGCAGGACUUAUAGAUGGGUGUCAGAAGAUAGUAUGAGGGGAAGUUCUCAAACAAGUGAAGGUGUUUGGACUCGUGUGUCCAAAAUAUACAUAGAGUUCUACAAAGGCACCAUUUCAUCAAAUACCCGAAACCACGAGAGUUGUUCUUCAAGAUGGAAGAAACAUCUUCAGCCAAGUUUGAACAUAUGGCAACAAGCACUGUUAGCAGCCGCAAGUAGACAUGAAAGCGGCGCUAAUUACUACGACGAAGUAAGUGUUUUGACAAUUUAUUUUAAAUAUUUAAUUGUAUUACAUUUAAUUUCAUAAAUUAAUUUCCUUUAAUUUUUGUAAUUAUAUUUUCUAGGUACGCCAAUCAGGGGAAUUGUAUAUGGAGGGCAGCUCAAAACCCUUUCAAUUUCACAGUUGUCGAGAAAUUUGUAAAGGGUGGGUGUUAUUUGAAGAUCCACCUCAACAUAGAGUAGGUCCUACGCUGGUGUUUGAAACUGCAUCCUUAGCUGAAGAUAUGGAUGAAGAAAGAUCUCCUACCAUUCAACAAAUAAGGGUAGAAAAUUCGUCUUUGGGUGAAGGUUCCAUACCUAGGGCUAUGGGACGAAACAAGGCCCGAAGGUUGAAGGAAAAGGGCAAGGCAACAGAUGAUUACGCCGCUCAACAGGAAGUGGCGGCCUCAUUAUGAUUAAUGGCGGAGCAAAAUGCCUUUGCCGCAAAAGAAAGGAACCGUAGGCAUGAAGAACGGGCCAAACAAAUACAAGAAGAGAUGGAUGAUAAGAAUAUGAAAAUGAACACUUCGAAUUACAGUCCAAUGAGUAAGGCCUAUUUUGAUAGAAAAAAAUAAAAAUUAUGACCCGGCGGCAGUUGUUUACCUCUUACUAUACUCCUACAAUGGCAAAUGAUGAAGAUAAUGAUGAUUUUAGAGAUUAAAUUUAAAUUGUUGUAGUUUUUAAAUUUAAGUUGUUGUAGUUUUUUUAAUUUAAAUAAUAAAUUAUGUUUGACCCUAUGACCCUUUGGCCCUCGGUUGGAGACGGUUUUUUGUGACAAGGCUAAAACGAGCCCUAUGGCCAUUUGGCCCUCGGUUGGAGAUGGUAAAAAAUAUGGCCAUGCACUGUUCAUUAAAAUAUUAAUUGUUUGGAGGGCCAAAGGGCUAAAAUGAGCUCUCUGACCAGCUUUCGGUUGGAGAUGGGUUUACAAUUUUGAAAGGACAGCUGCCUUCAGCCCAACUGCCUCCCAUUUUGUGAGCUAGGUGAAGGGCAACUCGACCCAAUUACUAUUGCAAUUGGAUGACUAGUGGAGAUGUGUUAAAGGGAAGGCUGGGCAGUUCAUUUUUAGUUGCCUAGAUGUUGUUAAGAAAAGUGAAUCACCGCGGAGAGUUAGCGUUGUGAAUUUAAUGAAUGUAGUGGUUGUGAAGCAUGUGCUCGUAUAUGUUCUAUGCAUCCGCUACAUAAUUAGUUAGAAAUUGGGAACAAAUAUUCUCCAAGCAAACGAUUGCCGGCAACUUUCGAGGAAAUUUUGGCUUUGUAGGAACUCUAAACUUUUGUGAAAGUUACAACUGAUGUUGAGGACAUCAUCUACAAAAAACAUGAUGGAUAAAACCAUGGCCCUCAUUUGGUAUAAAGGAUUGAAUUUGAACAGAUAAGACCUAAUUUUUAAGGUACGUGUAAGGAAGAAAUGACAAAAUUGCGACCAACUUGAAGAUAGAAGAUUUUUUUUUCUUUUUUUCUUUUUAAAUAUUAUUAUUAAAGAAAGAGGGAGAGUUCGAACCAUUACACUAAUUUAGGGGAGGGGGUUUCGAACACAGGAUGCAUGGAUGGAAGCCCAACACCAUAUCCACUAGGAUAUUGGACUACAUGCAACUUGGAGGUAGGAGAAUGAUGUUUCAAGAAAACUUAUUCUAGUUGUCCCUGUAGGGAUUAGAAGGGAGAUCUUUCCUCGUCUACAAUUUCCCUCAAAUAAAAAAUCAUUCUCUUAUUGACACACCCCGAUCCUAGAAUCAAGGCGUGCACGCCCUGAUUUUAGGGUCGGAUGUGUGUCACUUAUGCAUUCAAUUUACCGUCAACGUUGAAAAUCUUCCAUUCUAAUCCAAUCGAAGGCUUUGAGGUUUUAGGUCGGACUAACAAAAAUUGCCUGCGCGAUGCUGCGGGUUUCAAAUGCAACCAAUUCUUGCAAUCAGUAAAUAUGGUUGAGAAGUUGUCAAUAGUCAAAAAACAUGUUAGCCAGGAUAGUCAAAUUUUAUCAAUUUACUCCAAAUGACAUCAACUUCUCCAAAAGGUUUCCCUCUAGACUCUUACAAAUCACUCAAUAGAUUUGUUAAUUGGCCCUAAACUCUUAGUAACAAAAUUAGCCAACUCUAAUUAACAAUUCAUAAUCAAACUGCAAAAACAACAUAGUGAGUUUCAACUGUGUACAAACAUAAGAAUCAACAUAUUCAAAGGUCUUGAUCUGCAUUAUUACCCAAAAGGCAUUCAUUACAUUUUAAUAAAAAUUUCCCCAAUGAACUACAAUUCACAUACAAUUUGAAAGAUCUAAUUCAAACAUUAAAGUACUCAAGCAAUUCAGAUAAUGCUUGAAAGAUGAAAUUCAAACAAAUAAAAUCACUCUGCAACUGAUUCACAUGUGUUGCAGGUGGACCUUACCAACCAAAACUUUACCGCAGCCAAACGCUGGGUCCUUUCCAUGAGUUAAGUGGAUUUUAUGUAGUUGCAUUCGCAUUGAAAUAAGGAAAAUAAAUCAGUAAUCUUAAUUUCUUAAGAACAUAAAAAUAUUUCCCAACUUGCUUGUCUCCUUGCAUAAAAAAUUAUAAGCACAGAGGGGAAUGGAUAUUUCCCAACAAAUAAUGCAAAAACCAAUAAUAAAGAUUUUUAAAUAAAUUUUGUGAUUAAUGUGUACAUGAUAUAGCAAUUGCAUCAGAAAAUCAAACCUUGAAGAGCAUUAAGGAAUUGAUAUACAAGAGAGGCUGCGGUAAGCUGAACAAGCAGAGGAUUGCCUUGACAGAACGCCAUUGUUGAGGAGGUUCGUACCUCGCUGCUAAUGCUGUAUCUAAUUGGUUUCAUUAAUUCUGCACAGAAGGAGAAAAUUUUUAUUGUGAUGUGUUACACCACGUAUUUUUAUGUAAAUGGUGGGAAAUUUUAUUUUGUUAGUUAUUAACUUUUUAACACAUAUAUUCCAUCAUUUGUAUAAUAACAUGUGAUGUACCACCUCGUGUGCCGAUCACACUGAAAAAUCUUUUGCACGGAAGAUCUUAUUCACAAGAUCUUGACAAUUGGUCCUCAUUUCAAGGAGGCCAGUAACUUUAUGUGGCCAUUCAAGCUUAAGGCACCGCUGUUCGGUCUUAAGAAGAAGAGGAACCACUACGUCGAAGGUGGAGAUGCCGGAAACCGUGGGAACUACAUCAACGAGUUUUUUCUGUCACUAGAGGGGAUCUGAUACUUGCUCUCUGUUUAAGUUGAACACAGUUUUCGCUUUAAGGUUCAUGACUUGUCUUGAAGACUUAAAUGCUAGAAAGUUUUGUUACCUUAUAUAAAUGUUUUGCAUUCGAUGCUGCCUGCUUGUUUACUUUUGCCAAGGUUCUAAAUUUGGCUAGAGUUUCAUAUGUUUUGUUGCCCUCCUUUUUCUUUUCCUUUCGUGAAUAACCGUGGAGAGUUAUCGUUGUGAAGUUGAUGAAUGUAGUGUUUGUGAAGCAUGUGCUCGUAUAUGUUCCAUUCGUCUACUGCUUAAUUGGUUAGAAAUUGGGAACAAAUAUUCUCCAAGGAAACGUUUGCCCUUUGGCUUUGAAGGAACUCUAAACUUGUGUGAAAGUUAUAGCUGAUGUUGAGGACACCAUCUGCAAAAAAAAAAAAAAAAAAAAAAAACAUGAUGAAUACGACCAUGGCCCUCAUUUAGUAUAAAGGAUUGAAUUUGAAUGGAUAAGACCUAAUUUUUAAGGUACGUGUAAAGAAGAAAUAACAAAAUUGCUACCAAAUUGAAGAUAGAAGAUUUUUUUUCUUUUUUUUUUUAUUAAAAAAAAUUAUUAUUAAAGAGAUGGGAAGAGUUCGAAACUAUUACACUAAUUUAAGGGAUGGGGUUUCGAACAUAAUGGAAGCCCAACACCAUAUCCACUAGGAUAUUGGACUACAUGCAACUUGGAAGUAGGAGAUCGAUGUUUCAAGAAAACUUAUUCCAAUUGUCCCUGUAGGGAUUAGAACGGAGAUUUUUCUUCAUAUACAAUUUUCCUCAAAUAAAAAAUCAUUCUAUUGUGCAUUCAAUUUAGAGAAUUUUAACGAAAAUCUUCCGGUACUGUUCAUUUUAACAAAUAAUCACAUUUUUACACUAAAAGGUCAAUCUUGGUACUAUUCACUUUACCCUUUAUUUUGUCUUUAUCGUUAAAACUCAAAGUUUUCAAAUCUCUUUCAUUAGUUUUCCUUUCAAUUUACAGUCAACUUUGAAAAUCUUACGUUCUAAUCCAAUGGAAGGCUUUGAGGUUUUAGGUCGGAUGUGAGGAGGGUACGUAUCUGGGUUGAGAAUAUCGUUUCCUUGGAAGUCUAAGAGAUUGACUUUGAGUUGGUGAAUAGUCUUUGGAAUUAGGCAAAUCUUGUGGUCCUUUUUUAAUUAUAAAUUGUGACUUGGAGGGAAGGUAGCAAUAUAGCAUGCCCGUAUUUAUUCUCACACACCACCUAGUACCAUCUAUUUUUCUCUGUUCAGUUAUACGGGAUUUAGGAAGGAAAUCGAACUCUUGACCUAAACUUCCUAACCCAUUUUCCGCUGACUCUUGAACUAAUCUCAAGUGCAGGUACCCAAUCUCCUCCUCCAUCAACGGCUUCGGCGUGGAGGAGGCUCCAAUUAGGGUGACUAUAUUGGUCCGGUAGGGCGUAUAUGACCAGGUGAAUGUGACAAAAUCAGCUUUGCCCACGAUAUUGACCUCUUGUGCUACUUUUUUUUAGCACUUGAACUAAAUUUAUAAUCUCGAUUUGAAAGUUUAGUUGACCAUCUCUAAGAAUGAGGCUCUUUGUAUUUUGUUCCCAUCGGACGUAGUGUAAGAAUUGUCAUAAUCAGACAACAUUAUACAAUUUAGUGAGUUUCAUGUUUUGUUCAAAUCAUAAUGUAAAGUUAAAAACUAGUGAUCGAUAUAUCUUUGUAGUGAUCCAAUAAAGCAUUAUUUAUCAUGUAUCAAGGCUAGAAGAAGGCCCUCCUUCCACAGGAUUGAGCCAUAUAUCCAGUGUGUUUACAUAAUCAAUAUUGUUGAUGCAAACUAAUUAAUUAAGGGGAAGCAUGGGCACUUGUUGCGUGCUUCUCGUGAUGAGAGUUCAACUCUCGUCUUUCUUCUUCUCCAAAUCACAAUAAAACAACAAUCAAAAUCCGCACACUUACACAAUGACACACACACACACACAUAUAUAUAUAUAUAUGUAUGUAUAUCAGUCCCCUUCCGUUGUAGGGAUCAAGAGGCAGCAGGAAAAAGGCGACUGGAACAAAUGGUGCAGUAGAACUUCCUCUUGGUUUUGUGGGAAAUGGGGAUGAAACAAAAAAGCAAGUGAGCGUCGAAGUCCCAUCCCAUAACUGGCCCUCCGCAGUAGGGGCAAGCCGCUGCUGCUCCUUUCUUACCUACCACCUUUUCUCGCAGAUCGAACACUGAUAACACACUCAUUCUCUAAAUCUAUACCAAUCUCUCUGUCUGUCUUCCCUCUCUUUAUAUGCAUUUGGUAUAUCUGUGUCAACGUUUGUGUUUUGCAAAGUCUACAUUUUUCUGGGAAACUGCCGCUCGUAUGCUACUUUUUGUUUGGUUGUUUGUGUUGCUGGGAACAGGUAAUAGGGUAAGUAAAUUAAUGGGAACUUUAACGAAAAACAUCUGGUACUGUUCACUUUAACAAAAAAUCAUAUUUUUACACUAAAAAGUCAAUCAUGAUACUAUUCACUUUACCUUUUAUUUUGUUCUUAUCAUUAAAACUCAAAAUUUUCAAACCCUUUUUAUUAGUUUUCUUUAAAUUAAUACGUUAUCUUCCUGGAAGGAUGCAGAAAGUUCCACGAAGUGUGAAAGAUUGACUCGGUCCAAAGCCACCAAACUUAGCCCGGGGUUCACGCGGUUCCCUUUUUCUUCGUCCAAAUUUGAAACGUCAAUGAAAAUGUCAUCCACCCAUAGUGUCACUACCAAAUACCGACUAGUAAUUAGUGGAAAGAAAAUCAAUGGUCAUUAUAUAAAGCAUAUGAACUGUCAAUCAAUGGGUUUGGAGUUCAUUUGGGAUUGCGUCUCUAGGAAGCUUUUACUGGAGAUUAAGGGCUUUUGAAAAAAGGAAAAUGAAAGUGUUCGUCAAGAAAACAUUAAAAAUUGUUUUUAGACCAUCUUCAAAAGAGAUGUCAAAUUUUAAAUCUAAAAUUUAAAUUUGAAGGCUUACGUGGUACUUUGACAUCUUUUAAAGUUUUGCUCUCCAACCGAUAUGCCAAAUUUUAGACAUGAAAUAAAAAUUCAUAUGUAUUUUCUUUGCAUUGGGAAUGAAAAGAAACAAAAGGAUAAUGCUUUAAACCAUUAUAAAUAAAUAAAAAGUAUUUAAUAAUUAAUUAAAUUUUUUGAAAGUGCUGUCAAAUUUGGCGUAAGGGAAAGAGAUAUCAUUCUAUGUCAUGCCACAUCAGAUUUGGCAUCUCGGUUGGAAAACAUUAAUAUUGUCUUUUAUUACCGUUAUUGCUAAUUUGGACAUUUUGACUUCUCCUUUAGAAAUGUUCUUAGAAUUCAAAAUCAUUAUUACAUAUUUAUGCUUAAUAUUGUCAAGAAACGCUUUAUUUAUUAGGGUAAUGUUAUCCACACACUUUUUUUUAUUUUUUGGCACAAUUAUUUUGAUUUUGACUAUCGGGAUGAAUGAAUUGAAGAAAAUUAGACUUCUGUUAAAUUAUCUGUCAAUUUAACUGCUAAAUGAUGAUGUGGUAGCACUUGGGCCCACUUCCAUUUAAAUAAUAAAAUAAAAUCCAGAAUUUUUUUUUUAAAAAAAAUCAAAAUUUGAAAGAAUUAACUACAGUGGUGAAAGGCUUAGUGUUAAAGCCUUGCUAGUUCAAACCAAGAUAUAAAAUAUCGAUGAUAUCGGAAAUAUCGAUAGUCCAAAAACACGGAAAUUUCGAUAGAAAUAUCGAGAUAUUAUCGAUAUCGAUAAAAAUUGAAUAAAAACCACGGAAAUUGUAAGAAAAACUUGAAAAUAAUUUUUAUUGAAAUUUUGCAGGAUGUUUAUUUAGUCAAUUAUCUAUUAGUUUAUCAUAAAAAAUUAGAAGGAAAUGCAUUGCUUGAUAGAUAUAAUUGAUUUAAAUUGAUUAUAUAACGAGCUGACAAACAUUGUGAGUGUAGAAAAUAUGUAGUAAUUAAUGAAAGAAGUUUAAACACACCAUAAUCAUUUAUAUAUAAUGAAUUAGUACAAUAUUUUACACUUUAUAUAUUGCAUAGUAAGAUACAUGAGUGACUUAAUAAGGUCUAAAAUAUCGAUGAUAUCGGAAAUAUCGGUAGUCCAAAAACACGAAAAUUUCGAUGGAAAUAUCGGGAUAUUAUGGAUAUUUUAGACCAAUUCAAACAAAAAAAAAAUAAAAAAAUAGAAGAAAAAUUUGAAAGGAUUUCUUUUUGGCCGCCGUCGUCCCCAAUCAUCCGCUCCCUCGUUUUCCCAGCGCCAACCUCGCCAGCCCUUUCCCCACCGUCCUCUUCAGCUCCCUAACCUCACUCAACUUUUCUUCGAAAACUCCAUCUUCCCUCAUGAGUUUAUUCAGUAUAAUGGAUUUGUGAAAUUGAAUGCAAAAAUAAUCGGGAAAAUUAGGUGACGGACGAGGGCUGAAGCUGAGGGUCUGUAGCUGCGUCGCGCUAGAGCCGUCUUCGCCGCCUGAAUCGACUCGUUCUCAGAACCCGCAUCGCUGCCACUAGGUUCGCCUGAUCAGAACCGAUGACCCGCUGCUUCCCAAGAACCGCUAGCACCACUGUUUUGCACCUGAAUCUGAUCUGCACCGUUUGCCUGACCUAACCACUGCUGCUUUAUCCUGAAUCGAGAUCUCAUGGUUUCGAACUGUUGCCGCCUUGACCACUGCACGAACCCAAAACCAGAAAGCACCAAAUCCAUUGACGUUGCCCCCACAUCGUACCAGACCCGAUUGCCUUGAACCCCUGUGGACGAUAGGGACGAAGGCUGCAAAAAAAAUCCUUAAUUUCUUCAAUUUUCAUUUUUAAGAUUUCAAUUUUGUUUUCAAUUUUUUCCAAAUUCUAUUUUAUUAUUUAAAAGUGAGUUGGCUCCACGCUGCCGCAUCAUCAUUUAAUAAUUAAAUUGAUAGAGAAAUUAACGGAAGUCCGACAUUACAAGAAAUUCAUAAAUUAAUAUAUAACAUUGCAAUGUUUAAAAGAUGAGGUAUGAAAUUAUUAUGUGAUCCAAAAUUAAAGUGGUAAAAUGUAAUUUACCUUUUAUUUUCUCAUUUUGGUACAAGGAUUUUGGGAAGAGGAAUUUAUGCUAAACCACACAAUGAGCUAUACAUUAAAUUGUCAUCAAUCCAUCCAAAAGAGUAUGAUAAGAUUGAGAGUAAAGAUGAAUACCAGUAGUCUGCAAUGAUAUAGAAGUGGCAAUUGCUAGCAACUUCUUUGGAAGAAGAUUCUAGGUAUAUGGGCGUAGACAUUGAGGCCUAAUUUUUCACAUGUGAACCGCCAACAGGAUACAAACUUAUGUAGCCCUUGCCUAAAUGCCUAUGUGCUUCAUCAUUCCAUUAUGAGCUGAUUUGGUAUUGCUAUGCUUUGAAAAAAAACUGUUUCUGCUGUAAUAUAAGAAUAAGCUCAUUUUUGCUGCUUCACGUUUUCAAUUUUUUUUCACCCAAAACUGUAAAAAUAAGCAAUUUUUAAAUAUUUACCAUACACAUUUUUAAGCUCAACUUUUUUCAAUACCCACUUUUUAUAAAAGCAUCUCAAUACCAAUACCAAACCAGUAGUAAGUGCACCUUCACCUAACGACUACGCGAGAGCAGCCGUCCAGCCACCUCUCCAACCCGGCUCAAAUCCCAGACCAUACCCAACCCAUGCCGCCACCCAAAGUGGCAAAUCACGCCUCAAAGUCAACCCAUACCGCUGUAAUUCGAGCAGUUUUUCAGACACUAAUCAAUGAACUGUUGGUUCGAAGAUCUGUACAAUGUCCAGAAUGAAUUUAAAGAAGCUUGUGCUGGGGCUAAAGUUCCAUGAAAAUAGGCUUUGUGUGGAUGUUUAUACAAUUUUGCAUAACCAUGGCUAAAGUUCAGCGAACUGCCAAUCGCGCACAAGAAAAUUUACGUGUGGUAUCUCUAACAUAAGUAUUGGCAGUUCGUAUACAUGUUUCUACAUCCUGCCUAAACGAAGCAAGAAGCCGUUCAUGUCAUAAAAUGAAUGGUAGCACAACAGAUUUUCUGAAAAGAGUUGAUCAAACGUUACCACAGAAAUAUAAACUUGUGAAUCAUGGGGAUAGUUCUAUUGGAUUGUGUGCCUCGAUAUCAACAUGCCGUAUACCAGGAACAAGUGCUUGGAUCUCCUUUUCCAAUCUAUCAACUUCACUUCCUAACGCUGUCACUACCUCUUCACCUGCAAUGGGAGAUGAAGUUCAUAAUGUAUUGCACGUUGAACUCGGUCAUCAAAACGAUUUUAAAAAGUACAUAAAAAUAUACACUUGAACACAUACCAUAGUUUGACAUCAUUUUAAGCAAUGCAGUAUCAUCCUUCUCCUUUGCAGCUUCACAAAACUGCAUCGCAUCCACAUAACACGCAGAAAUCAGCUCAUACACCAAUAAUAUGAGUAAAACAUUUAGAAUGAAACUCCAGGUCGAAGAAAGUUUCAAAAAAUAUAGAAAUGGUUAACCUGUCUCGCCCAUUCUUCACGCCCAGUCCUAGAGAGAUAAUUUUGAACUACCACCACUCCAUUGAAAUCUGUACCAUGCAGAUAGCGACCAUUAUAUCACACUGAUAUCCCAAUAAUGCCAAAUGUAAAAUAAUGUGAAGUAUGGAGGAAGAACAUAUAGUUGAAGUAAUAAAUUUCAGUUUUAGUGGUAAUCAAAUUGCAAAUGAAAUAUGUCAUCGUUAAGUUAAAACGCUGCAAACGUCUGCAUGUUGAUAGUUUCAAUACGUUGCUAACAAUAAAGAUCAUGAUACACUUUAUUUACAAAUUCAGCCAAAACUAUGAAUACCAGAACAACAGUGGUUUGUUAGAAAACGUGUUAACCUAACCCAAAAUGAAUCAAACAAAUAAAGAAGACAAGAUGAAAGAAAGUCACCUAUUUCAGCCUUAAAUCUGAAGAAUCCAGGACCAAUCACCUCACUUUUGCAAUCAUAUAGAGAAUCCACAACCUAUAACAAAAUCAGUUAUAUUAAAUAACCUUAAAAGCAUGAAGGUAUAUCAAUUACCAAAAUCAUUUAGCAUAAUUAUACCGGGUCAUUUUUCAAAAACUGGAGAACCUUCUCCAUAUCAUGGUCGUCCAUUGCCCUGCCAAUCAAAGCAUGUCGAUUCCUUUGGAUCAGAAAAAUAGCCACCUGCAUGGUAGAUUCAACUCAGUUGUAUAAUCACAGUUUCACUGCGGGUCUGAGUCAGAAUGUGUUGUGUUACUUAGGUUUCUUUUUUUUUUCUUUUUUUCUUUCUGAAUACCCAGCAUUUGGUACUCAGACAACUUCAAAAUCAGCAUUGUAUUGCAGAUAUUCACUUCAUUUUUUAGACAGCAAUGUGGUAUUCUAUUACAGUUUCUGCAUAAUUUUUUAUGGAAAGAAGCAUCACGUACCAUUCCAAGUAGGUUGCCAACUACAAUCGAUCCUAUGGGGUCAUAAAUUGCAUUUCCUGUUCUAUUCACUGCAACCAGUGAUGCCGCAGCAAUAGCAAGACCAGUUACAGCUGCGCCAUCCUGCAUACAUGAGAUAUUUUACAAAGGGAUAAUAGCUUGUUUCAUACCAGCAUAAUUGUAUUCAAUCACCUACUGAAAAGUAACUUGACAACUGCUAACAUGUAGAGAAUGAAACUACGAAAUAUAUGUGUGGCUUCAUCAUUUCUCAAUCAAACUCUAGGCUUAUGCUACGUUAAUGAAGGGUUUCAACAACAUUACACGUUGGGUUUGACUGCUUGAGAUAGUUUCUUGCAAUUAAGUAGACUCGAAUUUACUAAUUGGUGUUACUGAAACUUUCAUUCGUCUCCAUUUCUAUACCUAAUCAUUUCUUUCUUUGCAAUAACAUAAACAAAAAAUUUCCAACAACCAAAUGAGAAUAAAGAAACAACAACCCAGUGUAUUACCUCUGUCAUGACUGCAACAGAUGUGGGAUCGUGUCCGCGCCAUAUAAAGUCUCUCAAUUUCAUGCCCUCAGCAGCUGCACCUUUCUUGACAGCUUGUAUGGCAACAAGAAGAGAAGCACCUAAGGAAUGGAUGCAAAGGUUAAAAGCGGGGGAACGUGAAAAGGAAAUAAUAUAAGCAUAUGCAUUGAGUUGUACCUUCAAUAAUAAAUGAGCCACCAAUCACAAGAGCUGCAUACUGACUAUUUGGAGGAGGCUGAGCAAACCGCAAUAGAAUUUACAAACACAUCAGAUAAGCUAAGAAAUUAAACGUAAGACAUUAGAAGAAAAAAAAAGUACAAAUAGGUUUCAGUAACAAAAGUUUGCCAAGUAAAAACUCAAUUAGUAAUAACCUGUGAAGUCCACAAGUUUUGAACUCCAUGAACGAUAGUCGCACCCGAACCAAGACAAAAGAUACCAACAGCAGAUAUCAAAGACCAGACAAAUCUUUCCUUGGAGUAUCCAUAACUGCCAGAAUCAAAGACAUAGCAUGACAAUUAAAACUAAUUUUUAGUGCGAGCAGAAAAUAAUAUAUAGGCAUGUAGUUAAUUUCUAAUCACAGCUCUUGACCUCUAUAUUAUGCACUUGCAACAUCCAAUUCCACUAGAGUGAGUAUUCUAGAUCAUAAAAGUGCUUAAACCAGUCUAACUAAUGGCUAAGUCUUAUUCUAGGUAAUAGAUUUCUUCCUUCGGAAACCUUUCUUAAAACUGUUACCUAAUGCAAAACUUGUGUUGAUAAAAACACAAAUGAAACAAUAAAAUCUAAUGAAGAUCAACGAUGAUCACGGUAUAGAAAGGCUCACGGGUGGAGAGCAUCCGGUGCGCGCCUUGAGCUACUCAAACCAUAAGCAAGAAGCGCCUACAAUGUCAACAUGGAUUAGUUUCUCUGCAUCAAUGAAUCGAUUCAAUCGUGAAAUGCAAAAUCACAACAACAUUGACUUAGAAUACCUGAUUUGCAAAAUCCGCAACCGAGUGCACAACUUCAGCAAACAUAACAUGGCUAGAGGUCGAUAACCAGACACCAAACUUGAGAGAAAAUACAAGGAAGUUGCACCACAAUGCAGUUGUGACUGCCCUUUGACUAGCAUAUAGAUUUAAUGGAAAACAUAAGAGUUCAAUACAAUUCCAAGAAAUUAAAGAAACAAACAAUAAAAAUUUACAAAAUGAAAAUUUGCAGACAUUUCCGGGCUCAGUACCUAUGCUGGUCAUUGAAUUCAAUCUUCACCUGCUUAGCUCUAGUAAAGAAGUCUGAAAAUCAAAACAUACCCAAUUACCCAAAUGCACAAAAUCUUCAGCUAAAAUUGACAAAUUCAUCACUUUCCAAACAAAAUUUCAUGAACUCCAAAAUCGAAAAAGGAACCUACUGCGAUGAAGCAAGUGCUGCUGCUGCUGUUGACCAAGAGCAACACUACCCGAAGAAACCAAGUCCGGCAAGACCACCCGUUUCGAGCAAGCAGCCGAGGAAACCAGGCCGCGCAGCAGAGUGUGAGCCGAGGAGCUAAACGGAGCGUUUUGGGGGACGCUGCGAUCGUCGUCCUUGGGGUCUGAGUAGUGAAAGAGCAGAAAUUGGGAGGAGCAGCGAGGACUGAAGCGGUGGGUGGGGCGAAGGCGGGAGACGAGAGUGUAGGAGGACGUUCUCAUCUCAUCUGCAUGGAAAUGUUCAUGGAUUCUCAGAAAGCUACUGCAUUUCGAUUGUUUUAGGGUUUUGAGGUUGGGAAUGGUUUAGGGUUUUCUGGGUUUGGAGAAAAUAGUGAAGAGACGCAGAGAGAGAUUGAAGGUGGUGUGACAGUGAGCUAAAGAGAUGCUUUUGCUCGUAGAAAACGGUAACCAAUUCCGCCCCCAAAAAAAAUGAGACAUUUUUCGGUCGGACUGGUAUACAGUGAUAAAUCACGUGUCAUUAUACAAAUGAUGUGGGAUAUGUGUGCUAAAAAAUUAAUAACUUAAAAAAUAAAAUUUAUCAUCACUCCUAUUAAAAUACGUAAGGUAUCAUUUGUAUUCCCGUCAUAACUAAAAAUUUAUCCCAAAAAAGUUAAAAAUUAAAAAUUAAAUCAUAAUUAAAAUUUUCAGAAAGUUGUUCUUAACCAUUGGGUGGAAAGGAGUUGUACUUUUGCAUUCUAGUGUGGAUUCGAACUUCGUCGGCUUCUUAAUUUAACAUUUAACCAAUAAUGCUAUCGUUUUAUCAUAAAAAAAAUUAAAAUUUUCCCAUAUGCAACAGCCAACCAGUCAAAAUGGAGGAAUAAUGACGAAGAAAGGUGUUGAAUGGGUAUAUAACCUCCAUCUAGAAUUUUGACCAUGCAAAAAAUUAUUUUUUAAUAAAUAAUAUGAUGACACCUAUUCAUAAUUUGAUGACCUAUUCAUAUAUCAUCUUUUUAAUAAUUUAUUCAUUUCAAUUUUAUUUUUUAAAUUUGUUAGUUAAUAUUUUGGUCUCGAUUAGUUUACAAGAUUGAAUGCUGGUUCUUCUUCGAGAAUUGAAGAGGAGAGAACAGGCAGACGUUGAACGAUUAAUUUCUAUUUCUCGUUAAAACCUUUAGUGUAAUGAAUCACAAGCCUACCAUUAAGAAAGAAAGACAUAAUAAGGCUUGGGGAAACGACAGGUGACGAAGGUUAUCGAAAACUUUCAAGUGAAAUAUCCUCACUCAAACUAAGUAUAAAGCCAAGUGCACAUGGAAAUAACGACUCUGCUAUGAAAGAGCAAACAAACUACGCCCAUUCCUUUAUGAGUGGCUUAAUCAAGUUACUACUUAUACCAUAUUGAAAUAAAGCGUGACCUUUCUCACAAUUAGGUGUUGAUCCUCCUCUUUUGUCCAUGCCCCUUUGUUGGUGUGAGCGUUCUCAGAAAAAGGUCACCCCCCCCCCACACCACCCCCAAUCUAUUUAUUAUGAAUGAUACACUAAAAUGGUGGGGAAGUGAGUUACAUUUCACAAUGUGCUAGCAAUAAUGUGGUUCAAAUUCACAUUUGAUGAAAAUCAAUCAUAAACCUCUCACUUACAAGUAAAGAUGAAUAAUAUCAUACCGUAAUAUUGAGUCGCCGAUGAGGAGAGAAGGAUUUGACCAAGAUGGUUUGAUUAAAACGUCGUUGUUGGGCCCAGCAAAUGGGCUGGCUAUUAGGCCAAAUUUGGCUAGCUUGACACUCUUUUGGCUAUAUUUGGAAUUGGUGAGCCUUAUUAAUUUUUAGUCCGGUCUUUGGUUGGGGUUGAGUUUUGUUGAAAUUAAGUCAUUUUCUAGCUCUUUGGCCCUUUAGCCCUUUUCAUGGCUUAAGAGCAUCUUUAACAGUCUAUUUCUUUUAGGAGAGUGUAGUCAGAUUAUGAUUUGAUAGUAUUUUAAUAGACAUUAAAAUCAAAGUGUAGUCAAUUAGGAGUUUGAAUGUGGAUUUUAAAUGAUUUUAAAAUCAUAGGGUAGUCAAAUUAGGAUUUUUGAGGAUUUAAAAAAUAUAUCCAAAUUCAUGGUUAGUCAAUUAAAAGUUUAAAAAGUCCAUACAAAUCUAGGUGUAGUAGAAAUGUUAAAGAUUUGCUAGGAUUUUUGUGAAUGAAGGAUUUUGAUGGAUUUGAGAGUGGGUGAUAUAAAUACCAAAUGCCAUCAACACACCAAACCAUGGAAGAUGAACAGUCUUACCAUGAGUUCAGAGCAUUUCCCAGUAGACUCCCGCGUUUUGCAUGUUUUUUGUAUUUUUUCUGAAUUCAUGCUCUUGGCUUGUUCAUCAAGGAAGAUGAGUAACAAUCGGACCAUAAUUUGUUUGAAUUGGGAUUAUAGUUGUUUGUUGUUUAGCUUUCGUGCUUUUUCUGAACUGGGAUUUUCUCAUUUGCACUUUUGAUUUUCUGAGUUGGGCAUUUCCCAUUUGCACUUUUCUUUUUCCACGAAUAAUUGGUGUCCAUGUUUUUGAAUUCAAAUGUUUUUUUUUUGUUUUUUUUUUUUUGGCCGUGGUUAAAAUGUUUUUAUUCCAGGAUUUUGCUGCCCAUAUAUGUUCCUAUUCAAUUUCGUUUGCCAUUUGGUACUCCUUCACAUAUAUUAUUAUUCAUGAUUGGAUAUGUUGUUCUUGAACUUGAAAUCAUCAUUCUUGAAUGGAUACGAUGUUCUGAAGCAGAAGCUAUCCUUUACAAUUAUUCAAACUUUUGGAUCAAUAUUCUCAAUGACCCAUUCUAUUUACAUAUUUCAUUGGUUUGUAUUUCUAUAUCAAUAGAUAUAUGUUUAUGUUCCUUUCAGAUUGUGAAUUAGGAAAGAAAUUUAUUUUAUGUUGUAGGAGUCAACUAAAAUACUAAAAAAUCCAUGAAGGAAAUCUAUACAAAUCCAUAAAAAUCUAUAAUAGAAAUCCAUAUAAAUCUGUCAAAAACCACACGGAAUUGUGAAUCUAUUAAAAUGAUACACCCCGAUUCGGAAUGCCCACUUGGACUCUGAAUCGAGCUGUGCUGGCAGACACUUGAAAGGUGACGAAGCCAUAAAGUGUAAUAUAAUGGAGAAUGUGAAUAAAUUUAAACUUAAAAGUGCAUAAAUAUAAGAGUGCGUGUGAGCGGGAAUGAACUCAUUUCACACGUGAUGUCAAAGUAUACGUAAAGUACAGUAAAGUGGAUUGAGAAUCAUACCAUCGAAGGUAAUUUGCAAUACCAAGAUUUGCCACGAAUCCUCAUCGAUAAGAAAGCUCAACUAUUAAAACCUGGAGGGGCAAAAAAAAGGGUGCAUGGGCCUGAAAAUAAAGUUUUAUAAAAAACUUUUUGAAAACAUUAUAACCCAUCGUCGUAAAACAAGUAUAGUUUACAAAAUAUACUUACUACGUAUAGUAUAAAAAUACUUAUCGUAGCCUGUAAAAUCUCAAUAGUAAUAUAAGUAAAAUCAGGUGUUCAAUCAAUCUAUACUAGCACAAGUCGGAGUCGUCUAAUGCGACCUGCAUGACUGAACUGAUGCUCAUCAAUCUAUGCUAGCAUACGAGUCGAAGUCGCCUAAUGUGACAUGUACGACAGGACUGGGUGUAAUCAUAAUAUACGCUCUAGUGCUACAAUCACGUGAAGACUGGUGUUAUCCGCGGUCACCUACGAGUCGGAGUUGCCUAAUGCAACCUAUACGACAUGACUGUCACCUACUUGGAUCCAAGGCGAGCGUGCGGUGCGAAUGUGAACAUACACGUGAAGGAUUGGCCUUGGCCCUGGGCGAACACUAACACCAAGAUGUAGCAAUGAUGAGCAUAAUACAUAAAUGUAAGCAUGUCAUAACAAUUCAAUAAUUCUGAUCAACAUAAUAACCUUACUUGCGUAUUCCGUAGGAUUAGCAUAUUUCAUAAAUUUCGUCAUUUCGCUAAUUCUUAUAAACUUUAGUCUAGUCCAGGCGUAAGUAAGAAUUCUUUUUCAAAUGCAUAAAUGGAAACUACCAAUCAUAUAUAUAUACUAUAAAAAGGAAAAGACCCACUCACCUGAAGUCCGCGCUACAACUUUCUAGCACGAAUAUCUAGGUGUCACAAACAAUCAUCGCCUAGAACAAAUAUCAAUUCACGUCUCAAAAUUCUUAUCGAUAGAAAACGUAACUUACAUAAAAUACAUCCCCAAGGACGUUUUAAAAUGAUUUGUAACCCAUUGACCAAAAGCCAACCGUCAGUCAAAGGUCGACUGUAGGGUCCACAACCCUACGUAACUCAAUCCGGAAGAUCUGUACCUUGGAUUUCCGAUCCAUAAGUUCUAAGAUCCACAUUAUGCUUCUAAAACAACAUACUAAAAUCUUACCACGAUCCAACGGUCGAAUCUCCGCCAAUCACAAUUCAAGUGGCGGACAACGUUUUAUUUUACGAACUUACAAAUCCAAUUCAGGAAGAUCCGUAGGAUGGAUUCUCGUUCCGUCAGUUCCUAAUAUUCAUAAAUAGUACAUAUUAUCACGUAUUAAAGUUUGGUACCGAUCCAACAGUUGGAUCGUCAAUUACUAUAAUGUUCAAGUGGCGGACCGAUCCGUCAGUUCCUAAUAUUCACAAAUAUUACGUAUUAUCACGAUUAAAGUUUGGUACCGAUACAACAGUUGAAUCGUCGAUUAUUAUAAUGUUCCAGUGGCGGACCUUAGCGAAAUUAUACCCAAACAAUGGAAUUUCGUUAAUCGGAUGUCAAAUAUGGAAUCGAGGCAUCCAAAUUAGACUAUGAAGGUCAGGUGGGGUCUCAGCCCACGCGCCGUGGUCCAGACUCGUCGAAAAAAUCAACUAUUUCCAAAAAUUACCAAAUUUCACAAAAAUAAAGAUCUCAAUGAGUAGAGCAAGUUUUAUAUCUGUAGCCAAGUCCAAUUUGGCCGGGAAAAGCUCCAAUUUCACUCAAACCCGUCGAAAACCCUAGAAUGGGUGAGCUUCGAUUCUCCUUCCUUGGUGUUCCGACGCCCCUACAAUUGGUUGGGUCUUGUUCCUGGGUCCAAGGGGAGUUGAUUAAGGGUGGUGGUGAUUGGUGAAACUCGUUGGAAUAGUGGAAUCGCCGUCGAGCACCUCUGGGUUCUCAGGUGAAGUUCUUCGCGAUUUUGGACCUAAAACCCUUCAAUCUUGAGUGGAAAAGGUAGAGGGGAGGUUGUGGAGGCGAUUGCAAGUGUUGGAUGGUGGUGGUACAACGGAAAAAAUAGAGGAAACCGUCGGAAUUAAAUCGGAUCGAAACUGGUUGGGUACGUGGAUGGGUCGACGGGAAAAGGGGAGGUCCUUUCUCCUGAUUGGUUGUCUCUCCCAAUUUUUGAUUGGUCACUUCUCCUUUAUCUGAUUGGCCUCUUUCCCACAAGGUGGGAGUUUAAUUAAUUUCUAAUCUAAAAUUUAAUAAGAUGACUUCAAAUGUCUGUAACUAUAUUGUUAAAACCCAGAUUCGCAAGCGGCUUUCGCCUAUGCACUCGUAGUGACGAGUACUACGAGGAUACGCUAGAAGAAUAAGUCCUACAUCUCUAUAACCGAUGGUCAAUGAAAGUCAAAAUCUUUACCUCUAGGGGCAUUUUUGUAAAAUCACUAUUUGGAGGGGUUGUCACAUAAAAUCCUUUCAAAUCUCUCACUUAAAAAAGUUGGAUUCAAGUAGAGUACCAAAUAGACCCUUAAAAUCUUGUGAAAUCCAAAUUGACUACACCCCCCUUACUUUAACAAAAAAUGUAUAUAUCAAAAAAAAGUUUAUGAUUGCUGGUUAGAUGACUAUCUUAAACUCGUGGAAAAAAAAAAUAACUAACUAAAUUUAGUUAGGAGAAGAAAGAGACAGUUAAAUUAUUGCAAAACAUUAAAUGACUAUCUUAAACUUGUGAAGAAAAAAAACUAGCUAAAUUUAGUAAGGAGAAGAAGGAGACGGUUAAAUUAUUGCAAAACAUUAAAACUAUAAAAUUGCAUUGUUUGUGGGCUGAGUUUAAAUUUUGAGAUUUUUUUAGUAGAUAGAUACAAAUCUCAAAAUUUAAACUCAUGUAAUGAUAAUAAGUAGAGUGGUGAACACUACCACCACUUGAGAGCGAUGAACAAAAAUACACUUGCUUCAGGAGAAGAAAAAAAAAUUAGGUUAUUAAGUUUACGAAAACGUAAUAUUGAAACAUGCUAGUAUUGUUAGACUAGCCAAAUUAACACUUGAGUCAUUUGGCUAGCUUCAAUAACAAAAAUUUAGUUAGUAUUCUAGAGAUGCUCUAAGCCUGUUUGAAAAGUGCUUUUUUUAUAUCACUAAAAGCAUGUUUUUAAUAUGUUUGGCUGAGAAAGUUGACAGUGAUUCUUUGUUCAAAAAACAUUUAAGUGUUUUCUAAACAAAGCACCUAUGUGCUUGUAUCAUGAAUUACUUCAAGUACUUCUUUCAAGAAGUUCUUUCACCUUUAUAAAAUAGUUAAUGUGCUUUUAAUAGAAGUGUUGAAGCUGAAAAUGCUUUCAAGCAUAAAUUUUGUUUUUUAAAGUAUUUUCAAACGAGUAUGGCAAAAUUUUCAUUAAAAAUUUAAGUGGCUCAUGGAAUAAACUCACAUUGUGCAAUACUUGGUAUACAUGUUGAAACAUAAAUCACCUAAUUGAAACACAAUCACCUAAUUAAGCGUUCAAAUUUGUAGUCUAACAAGUCACUCAGGAUUACGGUCUGGUGAUAUUUCUUUUCACUUGGAAGUGAGAGGUCUUAGGUUCGAAUCUCGUGGAUGGCGAAUUCUAUACCAAAUUAGAUCACACAUUGUGUGGCUUAGCCAAACUCCCCCUCAUCUUAGUGUCGAGGGAGAACACCGGAAUAUUUGGCAGGGAUUCAUCCCGCUUCCGAUCUCGACUUAAAACUCCAUUAAAAUUUGUAAUUUAAGCACAAAAAUGAUGCUAAAAUGAAAAGGAACAAGAUUCUACUACUGUGAGUAACAACCGUGGUCGAGAUUGGCCGGGAUUUGUCACGGAGCUCUCUGGAUUCUAGAAAAACGAAACAGAAAACAUGCACAACAAAAAGAACAAAAUUUAACCAUUAAGGGCACAUUUGUUUGGCUUCUUUAAAUCUCAUUGGACUGGACUGCCUUAGAUAGAAGUCCCAGUCACCAAAUCUUGCCUUCUCCUUCGUACAUGAGCUGCAGCCCCUUCUCCAGUCAUCAAAUCAGAAACAGCUCUCGCUGAUCUCCGUCCCGCGAACUCAACCCCCUUUUUGCUUCAGCGAUUAACUCGUCCAGUUAAGCUUCCAAUAAGCUUAAUCCACCAUGAACAACACUUCCAAAGAUUAAAGCUUAUAAAUCUGAAUUACACAAAACAUCAAAAUCUGCGGUAAACCCAGAAGUCAAUUACCUUGCAGUGCUCUUGUCCAGAAAUUUGUAGGAAAAAACGAAAUCAAAUUUGGAGUUGUAAAACAUAAAUUAUAGUAGAAAUUUGAUUUGUGAUUUCGAAUUUGUAGUGCUCUCUCUGCUUUGAGGAACAAGAAGAAAGACCUGCUGGUGUUUCGAUCCAAAUCAGGUGCAAAAUCUGUAGCUUCCUCCUUAGAGGAAGAAAACAGGGAGAAAUGGGGGAGAAAAAGAGAGUGGGGAGGGAGACGGUCGGCCGGAGAAAAAAAGGAAGACAAUGAGGGAGAGGGGACUGAGAGAGUGGGAAGGAAGAAGAAAAAAAAUGGUAAAAGUUUCGAGAGAUAGGAAGAGAUUUCCAAAAGAAAAAGAUAAAUUAAUAAUAUAUAUUAAUUUAUACGAAGUAAAUAAUAUUGUUGAUGCACAAAAUCAGCGAAGACUUUGGUACAACAGAAAGUGUCAGGUUUUGUGACCUUCGCUUGGUUGCUUCGGUCACUAGUGAGGAUAAGUACGUAAAUGAAUAGAGACAGAGAAGCAAACACAGGAUGUACGUGGUUCACCCAGAUUGGCUACGUCCACGGAGUAGAGGAGUUCUUAUUAGUAGUGAAGGGCUUACACAAGUACAAAGGAUCAAGCUCUCAAUUUAGUGAGUUCUUGUGAAUGAUUUAACACAAAUGGCAUUAGGCAAUAUUGUGGGGGAAUGACCCCUAUUUAUAGAAAAACUUGUAGCUUUGUCACAUUGACAUGUGUCAUGUUAUGAUUGGUUCUUGAUGUCGACACGUGCUGCGCUCUGAUUGGCUUCUAAUCUUGACACAUGUCGAGUAGUGAUUGGCCUCCUGGUCGGGGGGAACUCUUCUGGGUCCUUGACAGUAUAGCGUUGGCCGGUGCUCGGUAGUUUCGGGAUUGGUCAAGUAUGGUACAAACAAAUAUAAUAUUAAUUAUAAAUAAAAAAAAUAUUUUAUUACCUAUUGUAAGGGCUAUUCGGUGUAGGGGUGGAGAUGCAAAAGACAGUUACUAUCAAGGACAGUUACUUACUGUUCACUGGAUGGAUUAAAUAGUGAAUAGCCCUAGGGAACCUUUGCAACGGUGGAGUUGCUCUUAAGUGAUUCUUGAAAGAAACACCUAUUAUUUGUUUCUUGUAUAAAACACGUUAAGUGUUUUUCUAGAUUUAACUUAUAUUAUUACUAAGGAUUUGUUUGAUAAAUAUUUUUUUUUUAUAAAAACUCUUUCAAUUAUUUAAAAGCACUUCUCAAACGAGCGUUAAAACUCAUAACGUGUAUGCCAAUUGACAUUCAAUAUCAAUAAAUCGCAUCAUAUUCAUCAAUUCAUAUAAUAAUAAUUUUAUCAAUCAAUCAAACUCUAAUAAAAACUUUUUUGUGUAUGUAAAUGUUGGUUUUGUCAAUAUUUUUCUAUAUAAACUACAAUCUACUUUAAUUAAUAAAAAAAAUAUUAAUCAAAGACUUGAAUCCCUUGUGUUGACCAAGACAUACCUACAAAAUUCUUUGCCGUUUUUACGGACAAACCAUCCAUUUUUAAUUUUCUUAAAAACAGACAACAAAAUUCUUUUCUUCGUCUUUCAGUCUCCACCUUCCCACAAUACUAUCUUUUUCUCUCUCUGAAAUUUCAAAGUCCUCGCCCGUUUCUUCGCCGGUACCGAAACGCGCAUCCCAUUUGACGGGAGAUCGCAUCGCAGCUCGAAACGUCUUUAAUUGCACUCACUCCCGUUUUCAUUUCCGGCGUUUCGAUCCUGCAAAACAAUUUGAACGCCGUUUCGUUGGUUCCAGAUCGAAGAAAGACGUUUUCUUUGUCUCGCUGCGACCUGCAUGCUGUGUCUCUGAAUCGGAGGGUCAGUGUUUGUUUGCUGCCAUGGCCAGGGUCAGAUCUUCGUCGUCGAGCAGAUUGAGGUACUGCAACCCGGCGUAUUAUUUGAAGCGGCCGCAACGCCUGGCUUUGCUCUUGAUAGCAUUCGUUUGCGUCACUCUGGUUGUCUGGGACCGCCAGACUCUCCUCAAAGAGCACGAGGUUCGUCUCCCUCUCGGUUAUUUUACUUUCUUUGAUUUGGGUUUUUGAGUGUUGUAUGCUCUGUUUGGUUGCUGAGAAAGUGUGGGAGAAUGGGGGUGUAAAUUUGAAGUAUGGAUUAGCGGUUUCCAUUUAGGGUUAUUACCUGUGGCUGAAAAAAAGGUUUGAUCGCGUUAGAGGGGAAUUUGAAGUUCAGUAACUGCAAUUGACAAAAUGUUUAAUGUGUUUGUUUGCCUUCAAUGUCCUGUUUGUUUCGAAAGGAUUUUGAAUUUCGGACGAAGUGUUAAAUUCUAUGAAAAAAUGUUUAAUGUGUUUGUUUACCUUCAAUGUCCUGUUUGUUUCGAAAAGAUUUUGAAUUUCGGACAAAGUGUUAAAUUAUGCAUGUGGAAAACGUUGGUUUGAUUGUUAUAACUAUGACUAUGAGAGGAGGAGCAUCUGGUCUAAUGGAAUAUAUCAUAAAAUGUUACGGAUGGCAGAAGCCUUUUAUAUUUAAAGGACAAUCCCGGCCCGGGUUAUACGGAAAUGGAAAAGUGAUGUAUAAAUUUCUCAUGUGAUGUUACGUUCAGGAGUAACUAGGUUCCCCAGAUGCAAGAGUUUCACUUCUUGCAUUAGAAAUUGAAUCAAGUUUCACUUUUUUUAUUUUUUUAUUUUCCGCAUCUAAUGAUGUUAUGUAUGAAUUGCAGGAAGAAGUGGCCAAGUUAAAUGAACAACUGAGCCAUUUGAAAAGUUUGGUAAGCGUCUUAUGCCUUGGUUUGUGUUCAAGCUUGAGCUUCUUAAUUGGCCUUCAGUCACUAUCUUUUCAUUCAUUUAUUUGGAGUGGGGCGGUACUGUUGCUGCCAUAGCUAUCAAUCCCAAAAGUUUUCAAUUAUAACACUUAGAUUAAUAGAGCUCUAAGCUCUUCUUAUUCCGCCUCAACUGUUCUUUGAAAUUGUACAAGUUAUGUUCUCUAUGGUUGUUUGCAAUCUGAUUUGAUUAUCUAUUUGUUCCUGGAUAUGAACACUUGUGUCUCAGAAUACCAUAAAGCAGUAUUUUAAUCCAUUUUAAAAGGUAGAUAUGUGUCAUGUGUCAUUGUAUAUUGUACGCUCAGGUUGAAGACUCACAAAAUGUGCAAGGUGAUGCCGCUAAAAAGAAUACGUUGAAGGACAGGGAUGGUGAGAAAGAGGUUGGCCUGGACCCAAUUGACAUUCAAAGAAGAGAAAAAGUCAAAGAAGCUAUGAUUCAUGCGUGGAGUUCAUAUGAGAAGUAUGCAUGGGGCCAAGAUGAACUUCAGGUAUAACGAUCCCUUCUGUUUGCCAUUAUCUAUUUCAUUUUUAAAUGUUAUAUCUACACUGUUUAAGUUUUACUUUAAAGGCGUAGCAGUUCACACUGUAUUAUGGUCUUUUUCUACCCACAUGUUCCUUUUGUGCUUUGUGAUGAAUUCAAUUUACAAGGUUUUAGUAUUCUUUUGGUGUAUCUUUAGUUAAUCAUUGGUAUAGCUUGCUGCAGUUGUGACUUUGUCAAGGUUUUCAAGCUUUUGUCUAACUUUGAGAUCUCCAUCUGACAUUUUGCUCAAUAAAAUUAGUGUAGGUGUUCAUGUCUCUAUUCUGAUAAACUACAUUUCUGUGUCUGUGCUCACUAAAGAAUCUAGGAGCAUUAAAGUUGUCUGGGUUCAGUGACAGUUCUAUUUGUAACAACCACAAAUUUGAUAGUAUUUUUUGACUUUCCUUGUUAUUGGUGAUGUUAUUAUUUUUGUACAAAUUUUUAACACCAAAGCUGUUUUGCAUGUACCAGCCACAAUCAAAGAAUGGUGUCAAUAGCUUUGGUGGUCUUGGAGCAACACUAGUAGACUCUCUUGAUACGUUGUAUAUAAUGGGGCUUCAUGAGCAGUUCCAAAAAGCUAGAGAGUGAGUUGAAGUUUCGAUUUUCAUAUUCUUUGGUAGCAUACUCAGUGGACCAAAUUAAUCUUUGGCUACUUGGCCCUAUGUAGGAGCAUAUAUAUGUUAACUAUCAAGUCCUAUGUAGGGCCUUUGUUCUAUGUAUGUCAUUUUAGCUUCUUGUCCUUUUGCUCCUUCAACGUGAACCAAUUAAUCUUUGCAACAGUGCUUUGACAGAUUUUCAUUGCACUGUGUAAACUAUCUUAGAUGACCUUUUCUUUUGUUUAUGCUUGCUUGUAUAUUGCAAAAGAAAAAGGGAAAAUAUUCCUCAUUUCGUACGAUCCCUCAUAUUUACUUAUCUCUAUUAUUUGUUAUUCUCCUCCUCUUUUACUCUGUUGUAUUCUUGUAUCUUGAUGUCGUCAACCCUAGGGCGCACUAAAGUUUGUGUAUUCUUGUUUAUCCCUCUUACUAUGACUUUCAUUAUUCAUUUAUUUUCCCAUUUUCUUGCCUUGACAUCUUUGUUUUUUCUUUUUGCCCAAACCUCAUUCUACAACGUUACAUGUUACAUCUUGGUAAUAAAUGUUUAUAAUUUAUAUGUUAUUCUUGGCAGGUGGGUUGCAACCUCAUUGGAUUUUGACAAGGAUUAUGAGGCUAGUGUUUUUGAGACAACCAUAAGGUUGCAUUAUAAGGUUUAAUAUAUGGUUGAUUUUAAUUAUUUUCGGCACCUGGGCUUGCACUUUAUUUUCCUCCUCUGACAGCAGAUUUUCUGAUGUAUCGUGUCUAUUGUUUUUCUGAAAUUACCAGAGUUGUAGGUGGACUUCUCAGUGCAUAUGAUCUCUCAGAAGAUAAACUUUUCCUUGAUAAAGCUAGAGAGAUUGCAGACAGAUUGCUGCCUGCAUGGGACACACCUAGUGGGAUCCCUUACAACAUUAUCAACUUGGCACAUGGAAAGCCGCACAAUCCUUCAUGGACCGGAGUAAGUGGUGAAAAAGAGCUACCAUUUUCAGAUAGUCUCUUGUUAUGAUAUAAUAACAUUAACCUAAGUUGAGUUUAUUCACUAAUAGUUGCAUGCAUAGAUCUCUUUCAUGAUUUAUCUGAAACAUUUGAAUAUUUACAAGUAGUGUUUUAAAAUUUCAUUUGAUAAAUUUUUGAUAUUUUAGUUCAUCAUGUCUUUAGGGUGAAAGUAUCUUGGCAGAUUCUGGCACAGAACAGGUGGAGUUUAUUGCUCUUUCUCAGAGGACAGGAGACCCAAAGUACCAGCAGAGGGUAUAUAUACUUUCUUAUUUACUAGGUUUUUUUUUCCUUUCCCUGGUCAAAUAGCACAUUGCAGCACGUUAACGCAGCCCAUGAAGUUAGCCAUAGUAUGAAUUGUUGCGCAUAUUAACAUGUAUACAAAAGAUAGAUCAGUGACUGUCAUUUCAUUGGUGUGAAAAACUAAUUACUUGUGAUUCCUAGGCUGAGAAUGUUAUAGUGGCGCUUAACAAAACUUUCCCUGAUGAUGGGUUGCUUCCUAUUUAUAUUGAUCCCGAAAGAGGAAGAUCAGGAUAUUCCACUAUAACCUUCGGUGCAAUGGGUGACAGGUAAGCAUUAAUUUUUAAUAUGAAUUAUGUAAUUUUCAAGAUUCAGGUUUCAUUAGGUAUACUUGUUGUGAGUGGCUUAAAACAAUGUUGGGAUUAACUUUAGGCAAUUGUUUGCAGCUUCUAUGAAUAUUUACUCAAAGUCUGGAUACUGGGGAACAAAACUUCAGCUGUAAAGCCUUAUAGGUAAGAAGUUUGUCUUUGUCUUUUGAUGAUUAUAACCACUUUUCCACAAAAUGUUCCAUUUGGUUUCAAAAGCUAUGGGAAGCAUAUCUACUUGAAAGACCCAAUUUGCCAUAGAGCUUAACAAUAGAAAAACCAAAAAGGCAUCACACAGCUUUUGGCUCUGGUACUAUGACCUAUAUUCUUUAAGGGCAAAAAGUCCUGUACGAGGCUCAAAAAGUCAUGUGGUUCCUCAAUUUUAAUUUAUAUUUGAACCUUUUCUUUUCUAAAAGUCUUGUUUUUGAAGUGGAUAUGUGGUCAUGGUCUUUAAGUUUGUCUUGAUGUCAAAAUUCUUGUGGAAUGUUGGAAGCAGAGAUAUGUGGGAGAAAUCAAUGAAAGGUCUGUUGAGCUUGAUCCGGAGAACAACACCAUCCUCUUUUGCAUAUUUAUGUGAGAAGAAUGGAAACACUAUGACAAACAAGGUAAAUUAUUGAUUGCAGUUGCAGUAUCAUUGAAUGCCAUGGCGAUAAUUACUUUGUUACAUUUUAACUAGCAUUUCCUUUGCAUAUAAAAAUGCAGAUGGACGAACUAGCAUGCUUUGCUCCAGGAAUGCUGGCUUUAGGGUCAUCUGGUUAUGGUCCUGAUGAAUCUAAGCAAUUCUUAUCACUUGCAGAAGAGGUAUUACUUCCGUGAAAGAUUUGAGUUUCACCUUUGGAAUUUUAAGGCCUAUUUUGAACGCAUAUUCCAUGUCAGUUGGACAAGCUCUAUUGAGUGAGAUAGUAUGUGUGUGUUAUUCUGCACAAAACUUUUUUCUUAUUAGCAAAAAGUUACAAAUAAAGCUUGUAAAAUUGUUUUACCCUUUGAACCUUUGACUGAUUCUGCAAGCCUAUUUUCAGCUUGCUUGGACAUGCUAUAACUUCUACCAGUCAACACCAACAAAGUUAGCUGGAGAGAAUUAUUUCUUUCAUGAUGGGCAGGUUAGUUAUCCUGAGUUUCGUUUAGACUACGAAAUAUAGUUAAUAUUUGCUCAGAGGUUGGUCUAUGUUUGAAAUUUCCAGGACUUGAGCGUGGGUACGUCAUGGAAUAUAUUGAGACCAGAGACAAUUGAAUCACUUUUUUACCUCUGGCGUUUGACUGGCAACAAGACAUACCAAGAGUGGGGCUGGAAUAUAUUUCAGGCAUUUGAAAAGAACUCCCGCAUAGAGUCAGGAUAUGUUGGACUAAAAGACGUAUGCACUUCUUAAACCCAUAACUAACACUGCAUCUGCAUUCGAGUUCCUUCUACGUACCUUUUAUUGCAACUUUUUCUAUUGUAUUUCAUUCCUUGAAUCUCAUGAAUAUUUGAACAAAUCAAAGCUACUUACUCUUCAGUAUCUUAAGUUCGGAGCAGGUGAAAUAAAUUUUGUCUUUUACUGAUUUUGCGGCUUUUCAUUUAUGCCGGUUGUUGGUUGUUUCAGGUUAACACUGGUGACAAAGACAACAUGAUGCAAAGCUUCUUUCUUGCGGAGACACUCAAAUAUCUCUAUCUUCUAUUUUCGCCAUCCUCUGUCAUCUCCCUAGACGAAUGGGUUUUCAACACGGAAGCUCACCCAAUAAAAAUUAUGGCCAGGCAUGAUGCAGACACAUCUGGAAAAGCAAAUGGGAACGAUAGACCAAAGAUUAGAUUGCGCGGGAGAAAGGAAGGUCGAUCACGAGAUUAAUAGGUUUUCUAUAAUCCUAGUGUAAUUCUAGGGUCCAAGUAGAUGAAGGGGCUAAGAUAGUAAAAUACAUUAGUCUGUUGAGAUUCGAUGUCCGCUUUUGUACAAGGAGGAAAUGAUUCGGCUCUACAAAUUUGGCCUGGUGGUGGAAGUUGUAUUCUAUGGUAACAUACGUAUGCUCUUAUGUCAGUGGUUACUCCUCACAGGAAAAAAUGGAUAUUCCUAGCUCUUAUUACCCAUUUGGGAAUAUGGAUCAACAUUUGUAAUUUGAUGGAGGAAUGUUUUGGUUUGAAUUUCCCCCUCCAUUUGAUUUUUGACAUUUCAAUGGCACUCAUUUGAUUAUUUCCACAUCAUCUCUCUCUCUCUCUCUCUCUCUCUCUCUCUCUCACACACACACACACACACACACACACACACACACACACGGGGGCAUUGGGCUUUACUUGGAAAUGUGGUGGUAUGUUUAUAAUUUGAAUAUGUUUGUAAUCUUAGACUUUUUGUUUUUGACAAACGAUAAAUAAUCUUACAUUAAAUUACGGGAAGGGAGAUUCAAGCAAGAGACAUCGGGUGCAAUUGUCUCCUCCGAUCAUCUCCAUGAAGUCUAGCCCUUGUUUAUAUUCAUCUCGCACGAGAGUCACAGCGUCAUCGUAAGGAAUCCCUUCAUGAAGGAAAUACAAAGCUAGAUUCCUGCACGUGUAUGAGCCAGAGUAACAAUAUGUUCUGCCUGUUCAUACGAUGUCGUAAGAACAGAAAUACAAAGCUAGAAUAUAUCCAUCAAAAUCCCAAAAUAAUAAGACUUGCCAAAUACACGACCAUGCAUGCAGCACAACUCUCUAGCAAGUUCCUGCAUUCCAAACGCAUCGAGAAAGAUAAAACAAUGGAAUAAACGAGUGUGCACUUGACAGAAAGUGAAUCUAAAAUAGUAUCUGCAUGAGUAGCCUGAUGGCGGCAGGGUCACUUUACUCACACAUCCGUUCUCGAAUUUAUCCAUCAAAUGAUUGUACUUGCGUUCAAACUCAUCCUGCACACAGUAAAUAACAUUAGCAGAGGCAAAACAAUCAGCUCUUGCACAGCGACCUCUAUAAAUAAUAAAUUACAGACACCUGCUAUGGAACGAAAAUGGAAGGAAAGUUACGCAAUGCCUACCCUGUAAUACAAAACGGCAACUAUUGGUUGGAGUUCUGAUCAAUUAUAACACGAAUUGAACGUCAGCUUUCAUGUAAAACUAAACGUGUAAGUGAUAAGAGUAGUCGUCGUGCGACAGGUAUCAUGUACAUUACCACGCUUGUGGGCAAACCAAUUGCAGCAGGCAUGAGAGCGCUCAAACCCUAUUCAAAGAAAAAGCCGCUGCGCGGAUCAAAUGUGCAUGCAAGGCCAUGAAGCUUAAAGACCUCUUCUACAUUCGUAGCCCACACGUCCUGCAGAUUCUCAUCGUCUGCAGGAAGGAUGGAAAGCAAAUUGUUUUUCUAUCUUUCACUUGUGUAUAUAUAUAAAUGAAGACAUCCUCUUUGUAUAAACACAUCAGAUGCGCCGCUUCAGAGAUUGAAGAACGUACCCCAGAGAGCUUCUUUAUGGAAACAGAUAGUGGACCUUGUCAUCGUAUAGGUCCACUGCAGUUUCUUCGUUACCUGCUGCUGCUCAUGGUCUCCAUUCUAAACCCUAAUUAAAUGGGGGGCGCACUCAGACGAUCGAGUAAUUUACACUCACAAGCAGAUGCCGAAGCAGGGGGAGGCGGGCCGGGCCACGAACGAUGACAAUCCAGUCCAUUUGCAAUUUCCAAGGUAUUCCUUUCUUCCUUUCAGAACCUUCUUUCUUUCCCCUUUUCUGUAAUAUGCUUUGGUUGUAUCGUUUGGUUAUUGUGUGGUUGUUAAGAUGGAAACUCAAAGUGAGACUCAAAGGUAAAUGGGUAAAAAAUGGUAAAUGAGUUAAAAACGGAUAAAUAUGUAUGUAGUUAUGGUUAAAUGAGUACGGUUAAUCGUUUAUAAACGAUUAUGAGUAUGGGUAUAACAGUUUAUACAAUUAUCUAAUCGGUAAACGAUUAUACAAGUAAAAACUUAAACGGUUAUGAGUAAAUAACCAUGUUUACUCAUCUACUAUAACUGUUAGCCCAUCUCUACGUAACAGUUGAUAAAAAACUACCAAAAUAUAGGUGACACUAGAACUUGCACAAGCCUUUCUCAUUGUUUCUGAAUUUAAUACAAUCAAAAUGAGAUAAGGAUGUGAGUAAAUACAGUGUCGAGAUCUCAUAUUGCCAGCCCAUUUUCAAUAGCUUUUUUGGACAAAAAAUAAUGUUAGUGGAUUAACUUGAGAUUCGUUUGAGAGUAAUUACAAGUCUCAACGAUGAUUCUUGGUGACACUAGAAUUACAGUGCGAUAAUAAUUUUUUUGCUUAUAAGUUAAAUUUUUUAUAUAAUAAAGUAUUAACAAAAAGCAUUUAAGGAUUUCAAGUUUUGAUCCGAAAUUAUGAAUUAUGCAUUCUAUUUUUUAGUCUUAGAUGUAUUUAUAAAUUAAAAAACUUAUAAAAUAUAUGAACUUACGAAUUAUGUUCUGAAUUUUCGAGAUAACUUGAAUUCCAAAAAUUUUGAGUAUCAGGUUUGAUUCUAAAAUUUUGAAAUCAAAAUUUUAAAAACUUUUCCUUUCAAAAA
rnacentral:lncRNA from 1 species